rnacentral:rRNA from 1 species
UACGGAGGGUGCAAGCGUUAUCCGGAUUCACUGGGUUUAAAGGGUGCGUAGGUGGAUUAGUAAGUCAGUGGUGAAAUCUCCGGGCUUAACUCGGAAACUGCCAUUGAUACUAUUAAUCUUGAAUACCGUGGAGGUCAGCGGAAUAUGUCAUGUAGCGGUGAAAUGCUUAGAUAUGACAUAGAACACCAAUUGCGAAGGCAGCUGGCUACACGAAUAUUGACACUGAGGCACGAAAGCGUGGGGAUCAAACAGG